UUGUCACUUGGCAUUGCAUGGGAUAGCUCCUUUAACUUUGGUUUGGUUCCUCUUGGCUCUGUCCUUAGGUUCUAGCUCCUCUUUAACUAGCCCAGUGGGUCUACCAGAGUCUGGCUCAUUUUUGGCUCAGCUCACGGGUCUGACUCCUUCAAACUUAGCUCACCAUGCUUUCAGGUCUUGGAUCUAUAGCCGCUGGGUCUCACAGCUUUGAUACUAUGUUGAGAAUCAUGGGCCUAGGAGUGUAGAUCAAUAAAUUGGCAUGUCUACGUGCUAAACUGGGCUCCCCAUCACCAAAAUUGUCUAUGCCAUUUUGAUUUGUUUGCUCCACGUUUAUAUGCUGUUUGAUUUCUUCUUUUUCUGCCCAUGUGGGACUUUGACUUUUACUGCUUGCUUUUGUUUUAAAUUGUUGUUUAGUUCAAUAGGAUGGCUUGGCUUUGAUCCAAAUUGCUGCCGUUGUUUCCUGAUAGAUCAUGUGUGCGUGUGUUUCUGGCUGUAGAUUUUUCAUUUUGGAAAUAAAAGGUAUAUAAAAUGGAAGUUUUAUGGUUUUGAAUUUUGAAAAUGGCUAUUGCUGUUUGUCUUCAGUGUGAUCUGAUCUGGAUCUGCUUGUUGAUCAUUUUUCAAUCAUGACAAUUACGAUGGGAAUAGUGCAUAUUAUGAAAUAGAAUUUGGUAGAAUUAUAUUUAUGGUCAGUUUUUGGAUACUAUUUUGAAAAUGAUGUCCUAUAAAUUCUCUGGAAUAUCUAAUUGCAGAAAGCAGCCCCAAGACAAA
rnacentral:misc_RNA from 1 species